rnacentral:rRNA from 1 species
UGAUACGUAGGCGGCAAGCGUUAUCCGGAUUUACUGGGCGUAAAGAGUGCGUAGGUGGUUUGGUAAGUUUUCGUUUAAAUACAUUGGCUCAACCAAUGAAACGCGGAGAUACUGUCAGACUCAGAGGAAACUAGGGGGUAUCGGAACAGAUGGUGGAGCAGUGAAAUGCGUUGAUAUCAUCUGGAACACCCAAGGCGAAGGCAGAUACCUGGGGUUUUCCUGACACUGUUGCACGAAAGCGUGGGGAGCGAAUCGGAUUAGAUACCCGAGUAGUCCACGCCGUAAACAAUGGACACUAGAUAUCGGGCUGGUGACGGCUCGGUGUCGUAAGCUAACGCGUUAAGUGUCCCGCCUGGGGACUACGGCCGCAAGGCUA